rnacentral:lncRNA from 1 species
UGACUCAAGAAACUGCAAAAUUUAGUUUAUCUGCUUCAGGUACAGCUGGAUCUAGGAUUUCAAAUGAUGCCAUCAGGAUUUGGUCCUCCAUCUCUCUGCUUUUCCCUGUGUUGGCUUCACUCUGGAGCAGGCCCUUUCCAAAUUCGGGCAGCUCCAGGCUGACACUCUCCCAGUUCCAAGCCCAGUAGGAGGAAACAUUCAUUUCUCCAAAUGUUUAAACACAGGAUCUGGAAAUGGAACUCCCUGGACUGGUUUGGGUCAUAAGACUACGCCUGAAGCAGUCCCUGUGCGGAGGUGGAGUAGAAGACUCUGAUUGACUAGGUUGGGGUCACAUGCCUGAGACAUGAGCCCCACCCAAACCACAUGGACUGAGAGUGGGGCAGGGAUGGCUUCCCAGGAAUAAAGGCAUUUAGAGAUCAGAAGGAAAAGGAACAGGUGCUGGGUGAGCAAAGAUGACCGUCUGGACCUUGAGCUCCUGGUCCUUUGGACAGUGGGGAGCCAGUGAAGGCUUUAAUUUGGGGACUGAGCAGCCUAGAUCAGAUUUGGGCUUUAGGAGUCGAGAAGGGGGAGCGGAUGGGGGCAGAGAUACUUGUAGGAAGGUGCAAGACCCUUUAAGAGAUCCUGGAGGCCUGAGGCAGAUGGCACGGAGAGGAGGGGAAGAUGCAGAAGAAGCCUGGCUGGGAUGCCCCUGUUGUUACUGGAACGGCUGUUCCAAGGACCAAGACCACGUCACCCUCUUGCUAUGGGCCUGCAGAUGCCAGUGAGAGCGUGGGCUGAGGGCCCAGCCUCCCCUCCCCCCAGAGCCCCAUGACUAACUCUUUCCCUCCAUCUGUUCCCACACUGACUUGCACCCCUCCCGCCCUGGGGUCCCAGGGAAUCUGAUCUCCUGUGGCCCCGGUUGUGGGGCGGUCACCUUGACAUCGGGUGGUGGAUGUGGCGCUGAGAUCCUUCAGCUCUCCCAGCCUCAGCAGCCCAUUCCCCAGUUUCCAACCUCCCACCCCACGCCCUGGGGCCUGGGACAUCCCCCCGCAGGCUCCGGGCCGGGCCAGCUCCUCUCCUGGUGAAAGGAGCCAUUGUGAGGUCAGCCUGGGAGCUGGCAGGCGCUGCGCUGGCACACGUGGCUCCCGGAGGCCCCGGGGUCCGGCGAUUCCUGUCUCUGCUGCUGGGACCUGCCCAGAGAGAAGGGGGCUUUCUGGUACAGCUGUCCAGGUUGUUCACUGCACAAGGGACCCAACCAAGAGAGGCAUGUGAAGGCUAAAAUCUACCUGCUGCUCUGCUCACCAGCUGUAUUCCUGUAGAUCUGUGUCUAUAAAAAGGUACAGCUGAGGGAAGGUGGGCUCUGAGGAGAUGAAAUGGCUUGUCCAAGACCCCACAACUAGGAAGUGACACAGCUGGGAUUCAAACUCAGGACCCAGCCUCUCAGGUCAGCAGUGUGGUGCAAGGCAGAGGCAGGGCUGGGAGGCAGGAGACGGGGCUGCGGUCCCAGCCCUCCAUCUUACUCACCUCUCCUGGCCUCACCUCGUCUCCUCAUCCGGGAGCGGGUGUGUCAAUUAAAGCUCUUUAAAAGCAAGUGACAGAGACCUGCUUUGGCUUAGUGAAGCGAAACAAGAAAAAAGGGGCUGCAUCGGGAGGAUCUGGGGCUGCCCACAGAAUGGGAGGAGGCGCUAAACUAGGCCUCAGAAAGGCCAGAACCCGGGGCCACUCCAGGGAUCCGGGAGCAGGGACCCGUGAACCGCAUCUAAGGCUAGUUCCCUAAAUAAUAACCCAGGCUCUGUUGUCGGAAGAAGAGAGCAUGGCUGCGGCAGCCCCAGACAGCUCCUGUCCACGUCCCACAUCAGUGAGGAGGCGGGCCCACCGGGGCGCCUGAAUCGAGUGAGCUCUGAUGGGGAAGCUCCGUGCAGGCUGCCAAGCAGCCCGAGACGCACGGGAGCAUCGUGUGUCCGUCUGUCCCUCCCAUCCAGGGCAGGGACGCAGGGGGAGCACGCCAGCUUCUCGUCCUGGCUUUGCCACUGACUGGUUAUGUGUCCUUGGGCAAGUCACUCUUCCUCCCGGACCAGAGUUUUGUCAUCUCUCGAAGACAGUGAUCAUCUCUAAGACCAGUCCUCAGCUCACUAAGGUGUUCGCAGCCCAUCCCAGGGGAAUUUGAGAAAUUAAAAGAUGUUCCUGGCAGCAACCACUUCACCUGAGGGAAUGAAUCAUAAAUGAUGGCACUUCAGGCUGCUGUGAAGAAGAUAUCAGGUGACAUCAAGUGGAAAAACACCCCCCUCCCCCAGGAACCCACGCAGGAAGACGGGCAGCGCGGGCACAGCGCCCCCACCUGGGGCUCCAGAACAUCUGCCGUGAGGGGCUGCAGAGAGUCCCUGCUCUGGGGCGAGAGGUUGGUCCCAGUUGAGAUUUCAUUUGCUGGAGGGCUUCCAGGCAGAGGAAACACAGCUGGCCCUCAGGAGACACGGGCCUCUGGACCACGUGUGUCACAGUGCCUUUGUUGAAGGAACACACAGAUUUGUGACAGCAGAUCGAGGCUCUGUGCAAAGAGAACAUCAGUUCUCUCCCGGCCUCAGUGUCUGCAUCUGUCAGAUGGGGAUAAGGUCAUUGUGCCAACCUCAUGGGGCCUUUCUGAGGACCCCCUGGGACAAUAGAGCUGAAAGAAAACCUGAGGACACAGAGGGCCAGGGGCCGAAGAAGGGCUAGAACAUGUGCUCCACAGGGCGGGGCCUGAGUCUGUCCGUGCACUGCUGCGUCCUCCGUGCAACGCGGGCUCCGGCACACAGCAGACGCUCGAAAAUUGUCUGUUGAGGAUGAAUAGCUGACACGCAAUACGGACUUGUGCAGCAAGCCCUGUUCUGAGAGUUUUCCAUGCACGCACGCUUCAUCCUGACAAUAAUACAGAAAACACUUCGCAAAUGCAACAACAAAACUGGCCUCAUCAUCUGUCUCCAAACCUGGCAUCCUCUUCCCCUCCUCCCGGUGGCAGCUCGUGCUGUCACUGAGGACGGGUGCCCCAGACAGAAACUUGGAGUCAUUUUUGACACCCUUCCCUCUCUCCCCUGGACAGUCUCCUCAAGGUCACAGCAGAAACUGUCUCACAGCAAGUUCGUCCAGCUGUCACCCCUGUCAUCUUCCAGAGUUCUAGGGGCCGACUGGGCUCAAAGAGGGGUUCUUGCUCAUGUGGUCGCAAAUAAAAGGUGAAUGGCAUUGGAGUGACCACAGGCUUCCUCACCCCCGUGUCUGGCAGUUGACACUGGUUGUCAACCGGGAUGGCAGCUGGGACUGUUGGCCAGAACAUCCACGCACGGCCUCUUCAUGUACCCUGGGCACAGCAUGGCAGCUGGAUUUCAAGAAUAACUAGCCCCAGAAAUAGAAAGUGGAACCUACCAGACUCUUAAG